rnacentral:rRNA from 1 species
AACCUCCGCAAUGUGAGAAAUCGCGACGGGGGGAUCCCAAGUGCCAUUCUUAACGGGAUGGCUUUUCAUUAGUGCUUUUGGAAUAAGGGCUGGCAAGACCGGUGCCAGCCGCCGCGGUAACACCGGCAGCUCUAGUGGUAGCCAUUUUUAUUGGACCUAAAGCGUUCGUAGCCGGUUUGAUAAGUCUCUGGUGAAAUCCUAUAGCUUAACUGUGGGACUGCUGGAGAUACUAUUAGACUUGAGGUCGGGAGAGGUUAGGGGUACUCCCAGGGUAGGGGUGAAAUCCUGUAAUCCUGGGGGGACCACCUGGGGCGAAGGCGGCUAACUGGAACGACCUGACGGUGAGGGACGAAAGCCGGGGGCGCGAACCGGAUUAGAUACCCGGGUAGUCCUAGCUGUAAACGAUGCGGACUUGGUGUUGGACAGUGCCGAAGGGAAGCUGUUAAGUCCACCGCCUGGGAAGUACGGUCGCAAGACUGAAACUUAAAGGAAUUGGCGGGGAGC